CUCAUGAGUGGAAUAAUCCAUUUGAUGGACUAAUAAUCUGAAAGGACUACAGAAAUGGCUGAAGAACUGUGAAGGAGGGGAAAUGUUCACACAGUGGCUUUAUGAGGAGAUUCAUGCCUGGAUCAGCCAUGACAUCUGAUCAGACAGAUUAGAAAAGAUUUAAAACUUCACCUGUAUCACAAACUGUACCUCUGCAAGGACAGUGAGAAGACACAGCUGUCUGCCUUGGCCCUCUUGCCAUACCAAGUGGAUUUUGUCAAGGCAUCUAUUGUGAGGGUAAAGAAGCUCAUUCGUUUAAUGACACAUUGGCUCAAGUCAUCAUUUGCCAACCCCACCGAGGAAAAUAAGUGUGUAACCAGCACAUGGGCCCCAUGUGAGCCUUUCUCUUUUCAUGUCCCUUUUCUUUAUUCUUUCAGGUCCCACCCCUUUCCUUGGAGGCUGAGGGGAUGGGGGUGGGCAUAAAUGCUGUUAUAGAAUAUGGAACAUCUGUAGGGUAUUAUUCCAAAACACAGAAUAAUGGUUUGGUAGGAACCAAAGAGUAGAAGCAAAAAUAUUCAGUGGUAUAACUGAAUAGAUUGAUGUGAGGAAGGAAGGCACAGAAAAGAAAAAGAGAAACUCCUAAUAUGAUUUGAAUGGGACCUUUGAUGCUUGUGCUUCAAGUUUUCCUCCUGUGGCAGCCAGUUCCUCCAGGCUGAGCUGUUUUCCAGAGAGCAGGAUCUGCAAAAGUUGACAUGUGCAUAUUUCAGUGUCUUUCCUUUCCUUCGUUUGCAACAAAAUCUAAGCUAUGGUGAAGGGAUGCAAAAGAGACACAGUGAUGGUUUGAAUAUUUCAAGUAAAACAUUUGAAAAACAGAGAACUGGAAUAAAUUUGUAUAAAUUCUCCAUUCGGCAGAAAUAGCAAAGAUGGGGAUUUCUUAUAACAUUUAUACAUAGCCACUUUCUACAGGGAAUUUGUCUUCAUCUUUGUAUAAAGUUGCUAAUAAUCUUUAUUGGUUAAUCUGAAUGACACAUUCUCUGUUUACUCUUUGUAUAUGUUUGUGUUUAACAUUGAUGUUAACAUUAGUCACUUUGUAAA